rfam:Dichanthelium oligosanthes cultivar Kellogg 1175 unplaced genomic scaffold Do_version_2_scaffold10509, whole genome shotgun sequence.
CUGGAAGUGAGGAUCCUUUCCCCAGAUGAUCGACUACGAUUAUACUACGCGCAAUUGUGAUGCCUUCUCUCCGGAGAAGGAUUCAAAGCCAGAAAUCUGAUCCAU